AACGAACGUUGGCGGCGUGGAUUAGGCAUGCAAGUCGGGGGAAUCCCAGCAAUGGGGGAACCGGCGUAAGGGGCAGUAAUGCGUGGGUACCUACCCCGGGGUUCGGUAUAGCCUCUCGAGAGAGAGGGUAAUCCCGGAUGACGUCGUGAGACCAAAGAUUUAUCGCCCUGGGAGGGGCCCACGUGAUAUUAGCUAGUUGGUGAGGUAACGGCUCACCAAGGCGAAGAUGUCUAGCGGGUGUGAGAGCACGACCCGCGCCACUGGCACUGAGACACUGGCCAGACACCUACGGGUGGCUGCAGUCGAGGAUCUUCGGCAAUGGGCGCAAGCCUGACCGAGCGACGCCGCGUGUGCGACGAAGGCCUUCGGGUUGUAAAGCACUGUCGAGGGGGAGAAAAGCCCGAAAGGGUUUGAUCUAUCCCUGGAGGAAGCACGGGCUAAGUUCGUGCCAGCCGCCGCCGUAAGAC
rnacentral:rRNA from 1 species